rnacentral:rRNA from 1 species
UUUGACCUCAAAUCAGGUAGGACUACCCGCUGAACUUAAGCUA